CCUACGGGAGGCAGCAGUAGGGAAUCUUUCACAAUGGGCGAAAGCCUGAUGGAGCAACGCCGCGUGCAGGAUGAAGGCCUUCGGGUUGUAAACUGCUUUUAUAAGCGAGAAAUAUGAUGGUAACUUAUGAAUAAGGAUCGGCUAACUACGUGCCAGCAGCCGCGGUCCUACGUAGGAUCCGAGCAUUAUCCGGAGUGACUGGGUGUAAAGAGUUUCGUAGGUGGCAUAAUAAGUAGCUAGUGAAAUGUGGUGGCUCAACCAUUCAGACUAUUAGCUAAACUGUUAAGCUCGAGACCGUUAGGGGUAACUGGAAUUUGUAGGGUAGGAGUGAAAUGCGUAGAUAUUAGAAGGAACACCGAUAGCGUAGGCAGGUUACUGGGACGGUUCUGACACUAAGGCACGAAAGCGUAGGGAGCAAACGGGAUUAGAUACCCUGGUAGUC
rnacentral:rRNA from 1 species